UACAGAGGUCCCAAGCGUUGUUCGGAUUCACUGGGCGUAAGGGGUGCGUAGGUGGUUGGGAAAGUUUGAUGUGAAAGCUCGGAGCUUAACUCCGAAAUGGCAUUGAAUACUUCUUAACUUGAGGGUCGGAGGGGAGACUGGAAUUCUCGGUGUAGCAGUGAAAUGCGUAGAUAUCGAGAGGAACACCAGUGGCGAAGGCGAGUCUCUGGACGACUCCUGACACUGAGGCACGAAAGCUAGGGGAGCAAACAGG
rnacentral:rRNA from 1 species